rnacentral:rRNA from 1 species
GACGAACGCUGGCGGCGUGCUUAACACAUGCAAGUCGAACGAAGUGGCGGACGGGUGAGUAACGCGUAAUCAACCUGCCCUUCAGAGGGGGACAACAGUGGGAAACGACUGCUAAUACCGCAUACGGAAGGAGGGGAUUGCGUCGGAUUAGCUAGUUGGAGGGGUAACGGCCCACCAAGGCGAGGAUCAGUAGCCGGGUUGAGAUGAUGAACCGCCACAUUGGGACUGGGACACGGCCCAGACUCCGACGGGAGGCAGGAGUUGGGAAUCUGCCGCAAUGGACGAAAGUCUGACGGCGCAACGCCGCGGGAGUGAUGACGGCCUUCGGGUUGUAAAGCUCUGUUAAGCGGGAAGCGGUACCGGAAUAGAAAGCCACGGCUAACUACGUGCCAGCAGCCGCGGUAAUUC